rnacentral:miRNA from 1 species
CGGCAGAACUCCAGCAUUCGA